AGAGUUUGAUCCUGGCUCAGGAUGAACGCUGGCGGUAUGCCUAACACAUGCAAGUCGUACGAGAGUUUUUAACUCUAGUGGCGGACGGGUGAGUAACACGUGAGAAUUUGCCUUUAGGAGGGGGAUAACAAUUGGAAACGAAUGCUAAUACCCCAUAUGCUUUCGAGUGAAAUGAAUUUUUUAUUUGCCUAAAGAGAAGCUCGCGGCUGAUUAGCUUGUUGGUAAGGUAAGAGCUUACCAAGGCGACGAUCAGUAUCUGGUUUGAGAGGACGAUCAGACACACUGGAACUGAGACACGGUCCAGACUCCUACGGGAGGCAGCAGUGGGGAAUUUUCCGCAAUGGGCGAAAGCCUGACGGAGCAAUACCGCGUGAGGGAAGAAUGCCUAUGGGUUGUAAACCUCUUUUUUCAGGGGGGAAUAAAUGACGUGUACCUGAAGAAUAAGCAUCGGCUAACUCCGUGCCAGCAGCCGCGGUAAGACGGAGGAUGCAAGUGUUAUCCGGAAUCACUGGGCGUAAAGCGUCUGUAGGUGGUUUAAUAAGUCAACUGUUAAAUCUUGAGGCUCAACUUCAAAAUCGCAGCUGAAACUAUUAGACUAGAGUAUAGUAGAGGUAAAGGGAAUUUCCAGUGUAGCGGUGAAAUGCGUAGA
rnacentral:rRNA from 1 species